rnacentral:rRNA from 1 species
CAUGCANGUCGAGCGCGCCUUCGGGCGAGCGGCGGACGGGUUAGUAACGCGUGGGAACGUGCCCAGAUCUACGGAAUAGCCACUGGAAACGGUGAGUAAUACCGUAUACGCCCUUCGGGGGAAAGAUUUAUCGGAUUUGGAUCGGCCCGCGUUAGAUUAGGUAGUUGGUGGGGUAACGGCCUACCAAGCCUACGAUCUAUAGCUGGUUUUAGAGGAUGAUCAGCAACACUGGGACUGAGACACGGCCCAGACUCCUACGGGAGGCAGCAGUGGGGAAUCUUGGACAAUGGGGGCAACCCUGAUCCAGCCAUGCCGCGUGAGUGAAGAAGGCCCUAGGGUCGUAAAACUCUUUCGCCUGUGAUGAUAAUGACAGUAGCAGGUAAAGAAACCCCGGCUAACUCCGUGCCAGCAGCCGCGGUAAUACGGAGGGGGUUAGCCGUUGUUCGGAAUUACUGGGCGUAAAGCGCACGUAGGCGGAUUAGAAAGUUAGAGGUGAAAUCCCGGGGCUCAACCCCGGAACUGCUUUAAAACUCUAGUCUAGAGUUCGAGAGAGGUGAGUGGAAUUUCCGAGUGUAGAGGUGAAAUUCGUAGAUUUUCGGAGGAACACCAGU